rnacentral:rRNA from 1 species
GAUUGAACGCUGGCGGCAUGCCUUACACAUGCAAGUCGAGCGGCAGCGCGGGGCAACCCUGGCGGCGAGCGGCGGACGGGUGAGUAAUACAUCGGAACGUGUCCUUUCGUGGGGGAUAACCAGUCGAAAGACUGGCUAAUACCGCAUGAGAUCUCACGAUGAAAGCGAGGGACCGCAAGGCCUCGCGCGAUUGGAGCGGCCGAUGUCGGAUUAGCAGGUUGGGACGGGGUAAAAGCCCACCAAGGCUACGAUCCGUAGCUGGUUUGAGAGAACGACCAGCCACA